rnacentral:rRNA from 1 species
GGGGGGACCACCCUCCAAGCCUAAAUACUACCUGAUGACCGAUAGAGGAGCAGUACCGUGAGGGAAAGGUGAAAAGGACCCCGGGAGGGGAGUGAAAGAGAACCUGAAACCUUGUGCUUACAAGCAGUCAAAGCACGUUAACGUGUGAUGACGUACUUUUUGUAGAACGGUCCGGCGAGUUAUAGUAACGAGCAAGCUUAAGGUAUUGAGUACCGGAGGCGAAGCGAGAGCGAGUCUGAAUAGGGCGUAAAGUUCGUUGCCAUAGACCCGAAACCGGGUGACCUAUCCAUGAGCAGGCUGAAGUGAGAGUAAAAUCUCAUGGAGGGCCGAACCGACCCCCGUUGCAAUGGUGGCGGAUGACUUGUGGAUAGCGGAGAAAUUCCAAUCGAACUCGGAGAUAGCUGGUUCUCCCCGAAAUAGCUUUAGGGCUAGCGUUAUGUUAGAUUACCGGAGGUAAAGCACUGAAUGGUGGCGGGGCCGAUAAGGUUACCAAGACCUAUCAAACUCUGAAUGCCGGAUAAUUGAUGCAUAGCAGUCAGACAGCGUGAGAUAAGUUUCGUUGUCAAAAGGGAAACAGCCCAGACCCACAGCUAAGGUCCCAAAUUCAUGCUAAGUGGAAAACGAUGUGGAAUUGCGAAAACAACCAGGAUGUUGGCUUAGAAGCAGCCACUCAUUAAAAGAGUGCGUAAUAGCUCACUGGUCGAGUGACUCUGCGCGGAAAAUAUAACGGGGCUAAGCAUGAAACCGAAGCUUGGGCUUGUACUUAGGUACAGGGGUAGGGGAGCGUCGAGUAUGGGGUGAAGUCAGAGCGGAAGCACUGGUGGACUGUACUGGAGUGAGAAUGCCGGAAUGAGUAGCGAGAAUUAUGUGGGAAUCAUAAUGGCCGAAAAUCUAAGGUUUCUUGGGGAAGGUUCGUCCGCCCAAGGUAAGUCGGGAGCUAAGCUCAGGCCGAGAGGCGUAGGCGAUGCACAUACGGUAGAAAUUCCGUAACCACCGAAACUUAAACAGAGGGACACUUCAGGAUAGCGGAACCCGGGCGUUGGUUGACCCGGGCGAAAGGGAGCGAAAUAAGAGUAGCGAAGUCCGCGAUGCCUGGAGGCGAGAAAAGCUCUGAGGUAUGCUAAGGUGCCCGUACCGCAAACCGACACAGGUAGAUGAGGAGAGAAUCCUAAGGCCAACGGGAGAAGGGUUGUUAAGGAACUCGGCAAAUUGACCCCGUAACUUCGGAAGAAGGGGAGCCUCGAAAGAGGCCGCAGUGAAUAGGCCCAAGCAACUGUUUACCAAAAACACAGGUCUAUGCUAAAUCGAAAGAUGACGUAUAUGGGCUGACGCCUGCCCGGUGCCGGAAGGUUAAGAGGAGGGCUUAGAGGAAACUCGAAGGUCUGAAUUGAAGCCCCGGUAAACGGCGGCCGUAACUAUAACGGUCCUAAGGUAGCGAAAUUCCUUGUCAGGUAAG